AUGUUUUUUUUCUGUUGUUCAUGUCAUGAAUAUUGUUCAGAAGUCACUAUGAUGACUGCUCGAGGGUCACCAAGGUUGAGCCUCCUCAAAAAAGCUGUCGAAAGGGAUAGAGCAUCACCUCCUACAAGUAGUAUGACAAAGAGGAGGAGAGGGUCUCCCAAAGAAGAUAGAGCACAGUGGAAUGCAAGCCUUGAUAAAGAUCUUGUGGACUUGCUUCGUGAGCAUGCUACACCUGAACAUAAGGGUCAAAAUGGAUGGAGCUCAGAAGCAUGGAAUACGAUAGUGAAGAAAUUCCACCAGAAGAAUCCUUAUGCUAGGUACGAGAAGAAGAAAAUCCAAGAAAAGGAAAAAGAGUUAAAAAAAGAAUACAAGAUGAUCAAAGAGAUAAGGAAGCAAAGCGGCGUUUCAUCGGACGACCGGCAGUGCAAGAUUCUAGCGGAUCCACCACUUUGGAAAAACAUCAUCAUAUCACACCCUAAAGCUGGAAAGUUCAAGACAAAAGCCUUCCCUCUUUUUGAAGCUUUGGGAGAAUUGCAUGAUGGCCAAACUGCAGAAGGGACAUAUAAUUUCACCUCUAUCGAGUCAUCGCAUUGCUCAACUCAAUCACGUCUCGAGAAUCUUGGAGGAGCUGGCAAGAAUCAAGGAGAAACAUCAGCUGAUGGUGAGAAUCUUGGAGGAGAAAGGGUGCAGAUUAUUGAAGAUGUUGAGGAGGUGCACGUGCAAGAAAACAUUGUCGUGGAGCCCCAACAAACUCAACCAAAUUUGGCUACUGCACCCUCAAGAAAUGGAGAAGAGAAAGAACCAAAGAGAAGGAGGGGGGCGAAUGGUGAUGUGGCUGCAAUGAUGGAGAAGUACUUGGAAAUAAGGACGAAGCAGGUGGAGGAUGAGAGGAAUAAGCCAAGGGUCGUGGAUGAGUACUCUAUCAAAAACUACAUUGAUCUACAGAAAACAAUGGACAUCACACCUGAAGAACAAGUCAAGGCUUUCCGAGUCUUCAAGAUCCCUGAGAACCGAGAGAUUUUCAUGAGUGCCAGACCGGAGACUGCUCUUAUGUGGCUGAGAGUUGAAAUGGAAUAA
rnacentral:rRNA from 1 species